UGGGGAAUAUUGGACAACGGGCGCAAGCCUGAUCCAGCCAUGCCGCGUGAGUGAUGAAGGCCCUAGGGUUGUAAAGCUCUUUCACCGGUGAAGAUAAUGACGGUAACCGGAGAAGAAGCCCCGGCUAACUUCGUGCCAGCAGCCGCGGUAAUACGAAGGGGGCUAGCGUUGUUCGGAUUUACUGGGCGUAAAGCGCACGUAGGCGGACUUUUAAGUCAGGGGUGAAAUCCCGGGGCUCAACCCCGGAACUGCCUUUGAUACUGGAAGUCUUGAGUAUGGUAGAGGUGAGUGGAAUUCCGAGUGUAGAGGUGAAAUUCGUAGAUAUUCGGAGGAACACCAGUGGCGAAGGCGGCUCACUGGACCAUUACUGACGCUGAGGUGCGAAAGCGUGGGGAGCAAACAGG
rnacentral:rRNA from 1 species